rnacentral:rRNA from 1 species
GAUGAACGCUGGCGGCGUGCCUAAUACAUGCAAGUCGAACGAACCCUUCGGGUUAGUGGCGGACGGGUGAGUAACACGUUAGUACCUGCCCUUUAGUGGGGAAUAACCCGGCGAAAGUCGGGCUAAUACCGCAUGUGAUCCUUCGGGAUGAAAGCCUUCGGGCGCUAAAGGAGGGGCUUGCGUUAGAUUAGCUAGUUGGUAGGGUAAUGGCCUACCAAGGCGACGAUCUAUAGCUGGUUCGAGAGGANGACCAGCCACACUGGGACUGAGGUACGGCCCAGACUCCUACGGGAGGCAGCAGUAAGGAAUCUUCCGCAAUGGACGAAAGUCUGACGGAGCAACGCCGCGUGCAGGAUGACGGCCUCGGUUGUAAC